AGGAGACUGCUCAGUUUCAUAGAUCUUUUUCAAACUUAAAACUGAAUUUAAUUUUUUUUCAUCGCAUUCAAAUCUUAACUAUGCAAAAUAACUCAAGGAAGAUAAUUGGGUAAACUGAUGUGAGGUUAUCAACAUUGCAACAAAGAAACCAAGUUGUGUAAUUGGUUAUCAAUCUAAGAGACCCAAACCUGCACAAGCCUUAAGUAAAUAUACAGAGGGGGUAAUACAAAUGUUGGUGAUGGCAGAUCAGAGUUUGAGGGGAGAAAACAGUGCAGUCGUCGAAAUUUUGUCACAAUACUAGUUUACAAGAUGCAAAAAUAGGCAAGAAAAAAUAUAUUAUUGUUCUAAUUCCAAACAAAAACAGAAAUUGCUUGAGAAAUUCAGCUGGUCUAGCAACAUCUUUGGAGAGAAGCAGAGUUAACGUUUCAAGUCCACUGACCCUUCUUCAGAACUGACAUCAGUUCAGACAAGAAUGGAAUAUAUGCUGAAGAUAGGGGCCGGGGAACGGAGUGAGAGGACUGGCGCAAAUGGAGGCCGGAGAGAGAUAAUGACUCGCUCUGGGCUCCAUCUCUGCGUAUCUGUUAACUCGCCCCAUGUUCAGCAUACACACCUUUUCCUAACUUCUGUCAAUUCCAAAGGUCACUGGUAUGGAAACAAUUUAGCUUUAUUUGCACAGAUGUUGAUAGACCUGCUGACUUUCUCCAACAAUUUCUGUUUUUGUUUCAGAUUUUCAGCAUUUGCAGUUCUUCAUUUUAUUGUUAUAAUCUAUAUAGUCUCAAUGAGAAAAAACAAUCACUGAGUAGAAUGUAAUAAUUCAGAGUUUACACGUGGCAAUUAAUUAAAUCAAUAAAUGCGAAAACUGACUGGUUAUUAUCCAACUUGGUGAUUACUAUCAGGGGAAGGCAGCAGAGAGGAAAAUCUGCACGCCAAUUAACCUGUUCUGUCACAGACAUUUAACAAGUUCCUCUGAUACGACAUUAGCACAGAUCUAAAAGCAAGCUUUCUGCUAGAUAUCUCAAAACGAGUAAUAACAUAAGAGCAUGACAAGGAAAUGGGAAGCUAAAGAAAAAGGAAUGAAUAAACAUUAAAAGUGACGUCUUCACAUUUAACACGCAAGCUUGGAGUGAAACACUCGGAGAGUUGUUAGGAGUUGAUAGCUUGCUGCCAGCGCCUGUGGAAAGCGCAGUUUGCUGGAUGAGUGUUGCGGGCUGAGAUCACGUGAGGAGAGCAGCCUUGGAAUUCAGUUCAAAUGGCAAGUGGCUGAAAGUUUACGAUUCGCUGAACGCAGCCAAGAAACGCUGUCAGUGUUAACAAACAUAUGAGGCAAGAUUAUUCAAUCAAUAUUCAGUCACUGGGUGCACUGCAUAGGCUUCCAGCACGUACCAAAGAUUUAAAAUGAUUUGCCGUGAAGUACUUUAAUUGAGAAGAAGGAACCUAAAUAUGCACGUGCAACUUUGAAUCACUGCCGGAAUGCUGUGAUCUACCUUCAAAAUUACGAAGUGAUUGUCACUGCAGAUACCACUUGGACAUUCCGGAGCAUAAAUAUGCAUUCACAAAGCCCUCCUCUUUCCCAGAAUGUUAAUAUAUAUAUGCAGGUUCUUUAUUUUGUACUCAAAUCUGGCAAAAUAAUGUAUGCAGUCAUCAUGCACAAAACAGUGGUAGCCCAAGAUGUGAGCAGCUGUUAAUGAAAUCUUGCUACAGUCUGUUUUUUGACAAGAGUUACUGCUACUUUUAAUUUGACUCAAUUUUGCAAGUCUUUAUCCUACUUUAUAAGAUGUUGUGUACUCAGGGAACUCUGCUUAAAUUAUACUGCAAUUUAUUUUUAAAUUAAAUCUUAAGUUUUCCAGGUGUAUGUGAUGAAUACUGUAAUUUCAAAGCUAAUCACAGCACUAGUUCAAUUGUAUACUAUAAUUGGACUGUUAAUAAAAGAUGUGGAAUAAUAAUAAAAAAAGUGGGGCACAAUUGGAAAAGCGGGUGGAAUGUCGGUCAUUUAAUAGUCUGCCCACGUACCUACAGCUAUCAUUUUACCAGGUGUGUUAGUACAGAGCUGUCAUUUUGGUUGCUGAGUUGUGGUGUGUCAUUCAUUUAAAUAAUGCAACGGCAUUAACUGUAGUGAAUAAAA